CCUACGUGAGUCAGCAGUGGGGAAUAUUGCGCAAUGGGCGAAAGCCUGACGCAGCGACGCCGCGUGCGGGAUGAAGGUCUUCGGAUCGUAAACCUCUGUCAGCAGGGCAGAACGGUCACUGUGCUAAUCAGCAGUGAAUUGACGGUACCUGCAAAGGAAGCACCGGCUAACUCCGUGCCAGCAGCCGCGGUAAUACGGAGGGUGCGAGCGUUAAUCGGAAUUACUGGGCGUAAAGCGCUCGUAGGCGGUAUGUCAAGUCAAGGGUGAAAUCCCCGCGCUCAACGUGGGAACUGCCUUUGAAACUGGCAAACUGGAGUGUGUGAGAGGAUAGUGGAAUUCCAGGUGUAGGAGUGAAAUCCGUAGAUAUCUGGAGGAACAUCAGUGGCGAAGGCGACUAUCUGGCACAUAACUGACGCUGAGGAGCGAAAGCGUGGGUAGCAAACAGGAUUAGAUACCCUGGUAGUC
rnacentral:rRNA from 1 species